rnacentral:rRNA from 1 species
AUGAAACUUAUCAGCUGGAACUGCCGGGGACUCGGGAACGGCCCGGCAGUUCGUUCGCUCCUCGAAUUGGGGAGAGUGGAGGAUCCCGAUGUGCUCUUUUUGGCAGAGACUAGACUUACGGAGAAGGAAUUGGACAAGUUUCGGUGGACACUCGGUCGAACGAGCAUGACAGCUUGGAAUCCGGUGGGCAGAAGCCGUGGUGUGGCAUUGUUUUGGAAGAGAGGGAUGGAUGUGUCAUUACGGUCUUAUGGGCGGAGGCACAUAGAUGUUGAUAUCACGGAGGAAGAUGGUUCGGUUUGGCGCAUGACUGGGAUAUAUGGGGAGUCGGCAACGGAGAGGAAGAAGGAGACGUGGAGAACACUCAAGCUACUCAAGCAACAACAUCAAAAUGGUCGGCCAUGGUUGUGCUUGGGUGAUUUUAACGAAAUUCUUUCCGGGAUUGAGAAGGUGGGGGCGCCGAGCAAUCACAGGGAAUGA